UAUGACUGUGAUUGUACGGUUUUUAUGUCCAACGUUUGACCGUCCGUCUUACUUGAAAAACUUAUAAAAAAAUAAAUCACGCAUAAAGUAUUAUUCAUGUUUUGUCAUCUAAUAACAAUAAAAAUAUUAAUCAUAAAAAAUUUCAAAUAAGACGGAGAAUCAAACAUUGGAUAAAAAAUCCAUAAUUAUACUUAAA
rfam:Oryza glaberrima chromosome 10 Oglab10_0108_9, whole genome shotgun sequence.